rfam:Stachybotrys chlorohalonata IBT 40285 unplaced genomic scaffold scaffold1832, whole genome shotgun sequence.
GUUUUUAUAGCUCAAUGGUAGAGCAAGGAUACUAUUAAUAUUCUGGUAGAUGUUCGAUUCAUCUUAGAAGCU